AGUGCCCAGCUGGGCAUGGCUGGUUAUCGGCAAACGGUGAGGCCCUCGUUGAAAUCUGCAGGGACCCGGCCCCAGCUCUUGAGCUACUCGGAACAGGCUGCUCCCUGCGAGCUAGAGGAGGAAAAUCCCUUCCCAGAGGCGCAUCCCUCCUCAGCCUGCUGGGG